rnacentral:rRNA from 1 species
UACGUAGGGGGCUAGCGUUGUCCGGAUUUAUUGGGCGUAAAGAGCGUGUAGGCGGCCAGGUAGGUCUGGCGUGAAAACUCGAGGCUUAACCUCGAGAUGUCAUCGGAAACCAUCUGGCUAGAGUCCGGAAGAGGAGAGUGGAAUUCCUGGUGUAGCGGUGAAAUGCGCAGAUAUCAGGAGGAACACCAAUUGCGAAGGCAGCUCGCUGGGACGUUACUGACGCUGAGACGCGAAAGCGUGGGGAGCAAACAGG